UACAGAGGUCCCGAGCGUUGUUCGGAUUCAUUGGGCGUAAAGGGUGCGUAGGCGGCUUUCUAAGUUUGAUGUGAAAUCCUGGGGCUCAACUCCGGAACUGCCAUUGAAACUGUUUAGCUUGAGGACGAGAGAGGUGAGUGGAAUUCCCAGUGUAGAGGUGAAAUUCGUAGAUAUUGGGAAGAACACCGGUGGCGAAGGCGGCUCACUGGCUCGUAUCUGACGCUCAGGCGCGACAGCGUGGGGAUCAAACAGG
rnacentral:rRNA from 1 species